rnacentral:rRNA from 1 species
UCUGAUUGAACGCUGUCAAAGUGCUUGACACAUGCUAAUCGUACGUUUAAUUUAAGUAUAAUUUUAUUAAAAGUGGUGUACAGGUGAGUAUAGAUAUCCGGCCUACCUUAAAGAGAGGGAAAAAUCCCUUAUAGUAACUAAAAGGGUGUAUUAAUAAUCACCGCUUUAAGAGGACUUAAGGAAAUAUCGUCGAGAUAGGUAGUUGUUAAGGUUAUUACUUAACAAGCCUUAAUUCUCGUAGUCGAAGCUGAAAGGUUGAUCGACCACAUUGGGUCUGAAAAAAGCCCAAGACAAAUUAGUGUACAGCAGUGAGGAAUAUUGGUCAAUUGCCGAAAGGCUGAACUGGCAACUUUGAGGAAUGGUACAAAGUAUGUACUAAUAAAUUGAUAUAUCGAAUGAAAUUCUAAAAGUAUUAUUGAUAAUGACGAUAUACUGAUUGAUGCCUUGACUAAUUACGUGCCAGCAGUCGCGGUAAUACGUAAGAGGCUAGUGUUAUUCAUCUUAAUUAGGUUUAAAGGGUACUUAGACGGUAAAUAUUUAUCCUUAAUAAAGGUACAUUUUACUAGAGUUUUAUGCGAGGAGGUAGUACUUAAGGUGUAGAGAUCAAAUUCGUUGAUACCUCGGGGACUGGUAACGGCGAAGGCAACCUCUUAUGUAAAAACUGACGUUAAAAGACGAAGGCAUAGAGAACUAACAGGAUUAGAUACCCUAGUAGUCUUUGCAGACAAUGAUGAAUGCCAUAGGUUAGGAAAAUAAAUUUGACCUAUAAAUGAAAGUGUAAGCAUUUCACCUCAAGAGUAGUGUGGCAACACAGGAACUGAAAUCACUAGACCGUUUCUAACACCAGCAGUGAAGUAUGUAUUUAAUUCGAUGAUCCACGAAAAACCUUACCACAAUUUGAAUGUUUUUUAAACCUAAUAAAUUAAAGAAAAAACGUAGUUUAACAAGUGUUGCACGGCUGUUUACAGUUAAUGUUGUGAAACUGCGGAUCCGUCCGUGUAAUUAACGAAUACCCCUGCUCUAUUUAUAAAUUAUUAAUAAUAGAGCGUUUUCUGACAUUUCCACAAUCGUUGGAAGAAAAGGGAAUAAGACAAGUCAUCAUGGCCUGAAUAUUGUGGGCUAUAGACGUGCCACAUUUCUCCUCCACAAAGAGACGCAAAAAUGCGAAUUUGAGCUAAUCUCAAAAAAUAGGAUAAAAUACAGAAAAUGGAUUGUAGCCUGAAAUUCGGCUACAUGAAUAAGAAAUUGCUAGUAAUCGUGAAUCACCAUGUCACGGUGAAUUUAACUUUGGAUUGGUACUAAUCACUCGUCGCAUGCUGAAAAGAGUAGGUGCAAUAAGUUUGCUUUUCUAUUUUUAUUAAGUAAAUGAUAGGAUUUAGAUUUUUAAGUAGGAUUCUUCGUAUGUGCGACUCUGAUUAGUGUUAAGUCGAAAUACGGUUCGUGUAGUGGAAGUUGCACGGGACUAAUAAAAUUUAACAAAAAAUAAAUAAAAAAUAAAGCCUGUAGCAAGGUGCUAAUAUAUUUCUUAUUUUUGGUUCGAUUCCUAAGCAGGUAUAUAAAUUUAACAAAAAAUAAAU